rnacentral:rRNA from 1 species
CAAUAGCGUAUAUUAAAGUUGUUGCAGUUAAAAAGCUCGUAGUUGAAUUUCUGGCGGGCGCGCCGGUCUUCCAAGUGUUGUACUGGGCGCAGUCCGCCAUCCUUGUGGAGAGGGCUCGCAUUGAGUUGCGUGUCGGAUCUGCAUCAUUUACUGUGAAAAAAUUAGAGUGUUUAAAGCAGGCUGUCGCUUGAAUACAUUAGCAUGGAAUAAUAAGAUAGGACUUCGGUCUAUUUUGUUGGUUGCGAACCGAGGUAAUGAUUAAUAGGGAUAGUUGGGGGUAUUCGUAUUCAAUUGUCAGAGGUGAAAUUCUUGGAUUUCUAGAAGACGAACUACUGCGAAAGCAUUUACCAAGGAUGUUUUCAUUAA